UGAAUCCUACGGGAGGCAGCAGUGGGGAAUAUUGCACAAUGGGGGAAACCCUGAUGCAGCGACGCCGCGUGAGCGAUGAAGUAUUUCGGUAUGUAAAGCUCUAUCAGCAGGGAAGAAAAUGACGGUACCUGACUAAGAAGCCCCGGCUAACUACGUGCCAGCAGCCGCGGUAAUACGUAGGGGGCAAGCGUUAUCCGGAUUUACUGGGUGUAAAGGUAGCGUAGACGGCGGCG
rnacentral:rRNA from 1 species